rnacentral:misc_RNA from 1 species
UUUAAGGGAGACCAAACCUCUGAAAACUGAUGAAGUCGGUCACAGAAGGUCAUCCCAGGUCGUCGAGGUCGUGUCAUCAAAAGCUUUCAAACUAUAUCUGGGUUCAACGAAACGGGAGAGAAACCGCCCGAAAAAGUUCGGUUGUUUCAUCUCGAUAGCGUCAUUCUCAGUUGCUAUAUUAGUAAUUGUGGAUGAAGGUUAAUCCUUGAGACAAAGACUUCAAGUUUAACUUUAACUUCAAUCAAACAACCGACUCAAAAAGAACUCUAAAAGUUCGGUUUUUCACCCCACAAACUCGAAUCAAUCCGCUACAGUAAUAAAUGUAGCCAAUUAGUUAGCCGGUCAGCGAGUGAACCGAUACUAACGCCAAGACUUUUAACGAUUUGGAACAAAUUCAGCAACUUAUCUAGUAUUUUCAAUCGCUAGACUAGAGAGCCUGCUGGACUUCGUAUCCAGCCAAGAACCUAGAAAAUUGCAUAGCAACAAAAAAUCUGUCAGGUAGUAGCAGUUAGCUGAAAUUCAGUUAAUUGCCGACGCAGACACCAAUGUAAGAAAUUGU